ensembl:lncRNA
UUCCUUUGGUUCUCUUGAACUGUGAUACUACCACACGAAUUAAAGUCCUGUGAGGAGAAAAGAGGCACUGGGCAGAGGCAUUGGGGUUUAUGGCAGCCCUCACACUGCCUACAGUGGGCUUUCAUUUUGGCAUAGACGUGCUGGCGCGACAUCUCUUGCCUUGAAAAUCCUUUUCUCAGUUGUCACUGCGCAUGGACAUUUGCAUCUCCAAAUCCAGCAGGGCUGCAGGUAACAAACCCUUCUCCCUGGGUGACGGUUUGCGCAGCUGGUGGUUGGCAGGGUGGGGCUGCUCACUGCCACCAGGGCAUGUGCUGUGCUGCAGGUACUGCAGGUGCUGUAGCUGCUCGGUGCUCAGAGGCUCUCCAUCUCUUGCAGCAGCUGCAGGCUUCCUCUGGUGUGCAGGGGCUUUCAGGGCACGGACACAGAGGGUGAGUCUAUGAGCAGAUUCCUUUCCCUGCUUGGGGUUGAGAAGCUUGUUUCAGGGUGAGCCUUUUCUGGUUUGUUCUUAGCCUGUCCUGGAGGUGGGUCUGGCUGUGCUGGAGCUGUACCAGCCUCAGUAAGGGCUGUCCUAACCUGGCCUGGGUUGGGGGGCUGCCCUGCUCUGGGAGGUGAGAAACUCCAGCCUGUAUUGUUUUCUGUCAUUCUGAAAGAGUGCCCUGGGAAUGCUAUCUGAGCUUAAAUCCUAAGGCAGAAGGGGGGGUAUUUGGAAAGCAGCCUUGGAGCAUGUUUGGAGUCAUCUCUGCUGCUUCCUUAUUUAAACUGGCAAAGAUUUUGCAAGGAAGAUGUCUGCUUUCAUUCAAUGGAGAGCAGUGUAUCUCAGGAAACACCAAAGGAGGUGGAACUUCCCCACGUGUGGUGUGAGCAGUGCAAGGGGUCGGUGUUGGGAGGCAAUGCAGACAACUGGAUUCAGAAUUCCAUGCAACAGGUAUGUGUGUGGCACCAUCCUGAGCUGGGGCAGCUUCUUCAUUUACAACAGCAUCAGCAGUUUGCUGUGUGUGGUGCCAAGCUGGUGCUGUUCACGGCUCUGUGUUACACAGAGGUGGAGAGUUACCACACCAACAGCAGCACAUGGCCUCCCAGGGGGCUCCUGUUUGGCAGGGCUGGGCUGAGCCCUGGGUCUGAGCCCACAGGGAGAAGUGCUCCCUGGAUCCCUCAGUGCUUGUUCAGCCUUCUCGUGCUGCAACCGAGACUGGAAGAGCCUGGCUCUUGGUCUCUGAUGCCAGACAAGGAUAACUUCUGGGUGAUGAGCUGGUUCUGAUUGCCCAGUUCUGAUUGCAUCUCUCUGCCAGGUCCCAGCUGAGGUUGCUGGUGGGGGUGAUGGCAGCUCACCGGCAGCUCUUCCCUACUCCAGGUAAUGGGGGCUCUGAGCAGUGUCCAUCCCAGAGCUGCUACCCCACAGCCUGCACGGAUCCCUGCUCUCCCAGGGAGACUGCCAGGGCUGAACUUGGCCUCUGAUGGUCCCAGUUGUCUCUGCUCUGUUUCAGGCCUGCUGCUCUGUGUCUUGGCUCUGCACUUCUGCACCCAGGGCCCUCUUGCCAUAGCAGGUGAGUGCACAGCAGAGGAUCCUCUUGGGAAUGGGGCAAAGGCAACUUGGUGUGAUGGGACAACAUCCCUGUCCCCUCUUGGCUGUAAGCUAUUGGACAGAGCUGUGCUCAGGAAAUUUUCUUGAGGUUUUGACCCCAGAAAUGGCUGUAUCUCCUAUGCAAUGUGCCUCGAAGGGGAAGGGAGAAGCUGCUGUAACGUUUCCAUAGUCAGCGAUUAUCUCUGACCCGCUGGGCAGGCUCCUCCCUGCUGGCUGCAAGCAGAUCUUUGUUCUUGUUUGGGAUGGGGGACCACAUGGAUGCUAUUUCCUUCACCAAGGGGGAACUUUGUGUUUUUUUUAGGGCGCAAAGUGGUCAACAUGUCCAUAGUCACCACCCAUGCCUCGGUGGCUGCCACCAGUGCCUCAAUGUCCACAACCAACCAGGCAUCCAUGGCCACCAACCAGACCUCAGUGGCCACCAAUCAGACCUCAGUGACCACCUACGACCAGGCAUUGGUGGCCACCAACCAGACCUCAGUGGCCACCUCCAACCAGGCAUCAGUAGCCACCAAUCAGGCCUCAGUGUCUGCCACCAGUGCCUCAGUAGCCACCUCCAAUCAGGCAUUGGUGGCCACCAACCAGACCUCAGUGGCUACCGCCAGUGCCUCAAUGGCUGCCUCCAACCACACCUCAGUGACCACCACCACCACUUGGGUGUCCAUCAGCCAGGCUUCAGUGGCUGCCAACGCCUCCAUGAACCAUACAGAACAAACCCCGGUAAGGAGAGGGAAGGGGGAUGCUGGCCAUGCAGAAGCUCUGCUGCGCUGUGACCCCCUGGCGUGUCCUCCCCCCAGCUCAGCUGUCAGAGCUUCCAGUGCUCCGGGGAGAGGUGUUACCAGGAUGAGGCCCACAGCAACAUGACGACCACCUGCUACAAUGAGACCUUCUGCGAGCUUUAUCGUUUCUCCAGCAUGAACUACACCGCCAGAUGCAGCAGUGUGUGCAGUGCAGAGCUGUGCAGGACCAAUGGCAGCGUGACCCUACAGCAGUGCACCAUGGAGUGCUGCAACACCUCCCUCUGCCUGCAGCUCAAUGCAAGCUCCUAUGGUAACUGCUCCAUGGUUUAUCCCGCUGCAUGCAACAGAAGUGGGUGUGCGGAUCCAUCAUGCUGGGCUGCAUCGCUGUGGUUCCUCUGCCCCAGCGUGUGGACAUGAAGGCUGCACAUGGGCUGUGUCCUCAGGGCUCCUCUGUGCCCACAGGUGAUCUUCCCCCCACCACCGUGCUGCCCACGACCACCA